rnacentral:rRNA from 1 species
AUGCUUGUGCAAGGCACGACACGGCGCCUACAUGCCCUAAGAGACCCCACGGUGCUCCUGAAACUUGACAUAUCCAAAGCAUUCGACUCCGUCCAAUGGACAUUCCUAAUUGAGGUGCUACACACCAUGGGGUUUGGCACACGGUGGAUUGGAUGGAUUUGUGGAUUGCCUGCAACGUCUUCGACAAGGAUCAUGCUCAACGGGGUGCCCGGCAAACCAAUCUACAACCAAUGUGGCCUAAGGCAAGGGAACCCGCUCUCGCCGAUGUUGUUCAUCUUAAUCAUGGAGCCUCUAUAG